CAGGACAUGAAGGGAUGGCUUUCCUGGUUUUCCUGAACAUCUCAAUGGAGGAUACAGGUUUCUACAGAUGUAAAGAAGGCGACAUGUCUAUAGGCCAUGCUAUUAAUGUGACUGUGACAGAUAAUAAGGAGGAUAAGGUUUCACACAAUCAAAGCAACAAAAGUGAUCUGAAUUCAGGUCCAACGGAUGAUCUACAGUGGCUCUGGCCAUAUGUGUACAUCUGCAGUGGAAUAGCAGGGCUGGUGGUGAUAGUUAUUACUGUAACAUUGUUUAUCAUCAGAUGCCAAGGUGA
rnacentral:lncRNA from 1 species